AAGCAAAAGGUUUAAGGAACAUUCAUGUAUGGAACUAUGAGCUACACUGAUUUGGUUAAAUAUCAUAAUGAUUCUCUAAUCAAAUCUUGUUAGAUGAGCACAUACCAAAAUCCAAUUUCUUUUGGUACUUGCAUGUUAUUAUUGAUCAAACUGAAAUAUAUUCUGUUAUUUUACAUAUUUUUCUUUAGUUUUUUAUUUGUAUAUUAAUUCAUCUGUUUUUUCAUUCUUACGUAUAAGUUUCUAAAAUCUAAAGGUAAGUGAGAAUAAGCCUUGCAAUUUUCUAAACCAUAUCAUUGAUGAAUAUGCACUAAAUAUUCUUUAAUAAUCACUUGCAAGGUUGAAAACAUUGUUAACCAUUUUACACCUGGAUGACAAAAUCCAUCUAUAUCUCAAUCCAUCAAAGCAAUGGCUUAAAAUGGUGUAAGGUAGAUGAUGCAAUCAUAUCCUUGUUGAAAUUUGGUUUGUUAUGGUUAACCAAAUUAAUCAACAUCAAAUAUGUCAUGGGCUAUGCACAAAUAGAAACAUUUUGGUAUAAUCAAAUUAACAAAGGGGUCCAUAGCUCAGUGGUAGAGCAAUUGACUGCAGAUCAAUAGGUCACCAGUUCGAACCUGGUUGGGCCCUAUUUAAGUGUGUUAUUAUGUAGCAGUCACUUUUUUUUCAAUAGAUCUUUAGCUUUAUAACUCUUGUUCAAUGGUGGUUAGAUUUGUUAAGAUGUUAUCUGUGGCAGUGACAUGAUGCUUGCAGUUUACAUGCAUCGAUGAUCACUCAACCGAAUUUUUUCUGUUCUUUGAUAAUCAUUUGCAUAGUUUUCCAUUCAAUCAUGAUUUGGCCUGUCAAGAUGUUAUUUGCAGCAGCAUUUUUUUAUAUCUGUUAUCUUUUUGUAAAUUUUGGUCUUAUUUGUUAAUAUGUUUUAAGAGGCAAUGCAGCAUGAUACUUUCAGUUUUAUUCAUUUUUCAUCACAAUGAACCACGAUGAUGUUCUUUAUAGUUAUUAGUCAAUAUAUAAGAUACUAUACAGUUACCUUUUACCUUAUGCACUAAAGUACAUAUACUAUUCUCUACAUUACUAGGAUAAUAAAAGCCACUUCCUACUUAUGUUCAACAAAAUAGGAGUAAGAAAGAAUUACUUUGUGUAGUUUUCCGUAAAAAUGAUUUCAAGUGCCUGUCUUGUCUGUACAAGGAUGUUAAACACAGUUGUGAUAAGUAAUGGUGCUAAGCCAACUUUUGGUAACUGAUUGUUUGCUGAUUCAGUAGAUAUAUUGAUUUGGCUGCUGGUGUUGCAAAGAAUUCAGUAAUUAGUCAGUGACUAUGAAUCACUUCAUUCUUUAUUCCGGUCUUUAUGGCUUAAUUUGUUAAUAUGUUAAAUUGCUAAGAGAACAAAAAGGCCUUUUCUGUCUAUGUUACACAAAAAAAAGAGAAAGGAAUUACUUGUAUAUAUUACCUGAGAUAUGAUUUCAAAAUGCUUCUCUCGUCUGUCCGAGGAUGUCAGACAGUUGUUGCAAUAUGUGAUGGUAUUAAGCCAGCUUCUGGUAAAUGAUGGAUUGGUGAUCCAUGGUCAACAUGGUCUCCACCAUUGCAUAGAUUUCAGAUACCAAAUCAGUAAUUAUGAAUCACAACUUCGCAUACCUGUCACUAGUUCUUCAACAGAAAGAUUUGUUUACCAUUAGUUUGCUGUUAAGAAGGCCACCCAGAGCCAAGAACUCAACUACAAGAGAACCUAAACUGCCGAUUGGUCCUUCUUCAACAGUUAUAAGUUCCUCAUGUGAUAUCUCUAAGCUUCAAUCCAGACUUUGAUCCAAUACUUUGCAGAAUCGCCUUGACUGCUGUGAUUUCUAGGCCCUUCAGAUAGUGCUCCUUCAGUACCAAAGCUGCAGCCAAGCAGUUCUGAACUGCUGUUCCAUACUCAAGAAGAGCCUACAGAUCCCUCUCACCCUCGGCAUGAACUGCAGUUCGAGACCCUGCUCCUACCUUUGCCAACCUGCAAAUGUUAUAACUGGAAGAGAAGAAACAGAUGCAUGUUCCUUUAAACUAUCACCUCAAGUGAAACACCCUUGUGGAACAGUUCUGCUUCAUCUGAAGGAACCCUGACAGCGAUGGUUGGCAGGCAUGCCAAGACUGCAAGUGAUCCAGAAUUAAUUGUCUUAUCAGCUCCAACAAGCCGCACCACAGAAUUCAAAGGGUUAUUCUCAAGUUGUGUAAUAUGAGGUGUAAUCCAUGGAAGAAUGAAUUCCACAAUACUCUUGCCUGACCAAAGGUGUCUGUUCCAGAAUCAGCACAAUUCACAGGUUACAAUUCACAGG